rnacentral:rRNA from 1 species
UACGGAGGGUGCAAGCGUUGUCCGGAUUUACUGGGCGUAAAGAGCGCGCAGGCGGUCGUUCAAGUCGCGUGUGAAAGCCCCCGGCUCAACUGGGGAGGGUCACGCGAUACUGAUCGACUCGAAGGCAGGAGAGGGUAGUGGAAUUCCCGGUGUAGUGGUGAAAUGCGCAGAUAUCGGGAGGAACACCAGUGGCGAAGGCGGCGAUCUGGGUCGAUACUGACGCUGAGGUGCGAAAGCGUGGGGAGCAAACAGG